GACGUAGGGAGCGAGCGUUGUCCGGAUUCAUUGGGCGUAAAGAGCGCGCAGGCGGUUUGGUAAGUCGGAUGUGAAAACCCGGGGCUCAACCUCGGGUCUGCAGUCGAUACGAGCAAACUAGAGUGUUGCAGGGGAGACUGGAAUUCCUGGUGUAGCGGUGAAAUGCGCAGAUAUCAGGAGGAACACCGGUGGCGAAGGCGGGUCUCUGGGCAACAACUGACGCUGAGGAGCGAAAGCGUGGGGAGCGAACAGG
rnacentral:rRNA from 1 species